rnacentral:lncRNA from 1 species
GGGGACCAGGUCUGAACAACACAAGUACAGUUAGGCUAGAUCCCAGGGAGGGAACCGCCCUGAGUUCAAAAGUUGUUCUUCUAUGCCAGGACCCUCAUCCACUAGUUCCCUAGUGCCUAGAGGUAGGCUAGAGUAGGGAAAUAGGUCUUCUAGGUCCAGGCCUCAGCAGAGUGUGAGCAGCAAGCCCAACUUACUUCCUUGUGCCAAGUGUGGUAGGACCCAUUCGGGUAUGUUUUUGGCAGAACAUCGUGGUUUUUUCAGGUGUGGAAAGAUAGGUCACAGGCUUAGAGAGUGCCCACAUGCCUGACAGAGAAGAAGAGAUACU